rnacentral:rRNA from 1 species
UACGUAGGGGGCGAGCGUUGUCCGGAUUUAUUGGGCGUAAAGAGCGUGUAGGCGGCCAGGUAGGUCUGCUGUGAAAACUCGAGGCUCAACCUCGAGACGUCGGCGGAAACCAUCUGGCUAGAGUCCGGAAGAGGAGAGUGGAAUUCCUGGUGUAGCGGUGAAAUGCGCAGAUAUCAGGAAGAACACCCGUGGCGAAGGCGGCUCUCUGGGACGGUACUGACGCUGAGACGCGAAAGCGUGGGGAGAACAGG